rnacentral:rRNA from 1 species
CUAAUACCGAAUAAGUUCCAAGGGCCGCAUGGCCCAUGGAAGAAAAGGUGGCCUCUACCUGUAAGCUAUCGCCUGAAGAGGGGUUUGCGUCUGAUUAGCUGGUUGGAGGGGUAACGGCCCACCAAGGCGACGAUCAGUAGCCGGUCUGAGAGGAUGAACGGCCACACUGGAACUGAGACACGGUCCAGACUCCUACGGGAGGCAGCAGUGGGGAAUCUUCCGCAAUGGGCGAAAGCCUGACGGAGCAGCGCCGCGUGAGUGAUGACGGCCUUCGGGUUGUAAAACUCUGUGAUCCGGGACGAAAAGGCAGACUGCGAAAAACAGACAGCAUUGACGGUACCGGAAAAGCAAGCCACGGCUAACUACGUGCCAGCAGCCGCGGUAAUACGUAGGUGGCAAGCGUUGUCCGGAAUUAUUGGGCGUAAAGCGCGCGCAGGCGGCUUCCCAAGUCCCUCUUAAAAGUGCGGGGCUUAACCCCGUGAUGGGAAGGAAACUGGGAAGCUGGAGUAUCGGAGAGGAAAGUGGAAUUCCUAGUGUAGCGGUGAAAUGCGUAGAGAUUAGGAAGAACACCGGUGGCGAAGGCGACUUUCUGGACGAAAACUGACGCUGAGGCGCGAAAGCGUGGGGAGCAAACAGGAUUAGAUACCCUGGUAGUCCACGCCGUAAACGAUGGAUACUAGGUGUAGGAGGUAUCGACCCCUCCUGUGCCGG